GAUUCGGGAAAUGAAAUUUAUAUCCAAAUAGAUUCUUCAAACCAUUAUGAUGAAACAGGUUCCCCGGGUGUUUUAACGCAGUUGUUGGACGGUUCAGAAAAUCUAGUCCUCUAUCGUAACUGGCAGACUCCACAAACACCACCCCCCUCUGACAGCCGCGGACAGCAUUUUCCCGUCCCCUCUGAAAGCAGCGGACGGCGUUCAGUCCGCUGGGUGUCCCCUUCGCCGACAACGAUUCACUCUGACCAAGGAUCUCGGCGUCAAAAUCGUUAUUCAUCAUGAUAUUCCCUCCGGCCUGAACACGAACAGAGACAUCGAGAAAGACUGCAAGAGCUGACUGAAAACCUUGGCCUGUUACUGGAGCAAUUUGUAGAAUUA